rnacentral:rRNA from 1 species
GUGCCAGCAGCCGCGGUAAUACGUAGGUGGCAAGCGUUAUCCGGAAUUACUGGGCGUAAAGCGCAUGCAGGCGGCUCUUUAAGUCUGACGUGAAAGCUCCUGGCUUAACUGGGAGAGGUCGUUGGAAACUGGGGGGCUUGAGGCAAUGAGAGGGGUGUAGAAUUCCCGGUGUAGUGGUGGAAUGCGUAGAUAUCGGGAGGAAUACCAGUGGCGAAAGCGGCACCCUGGCAUUGGCCUGACGCUCAUGUGCGAAAGCGUGGGGAGCAAACGGGAUUAGAAACCCCUGUAGUCC